GCCCACCUUUGGCCUCUCCUCCCCCCGACCUGCCUCCAGAUCCCGUACAACCUCACAGUGCUGUGGCAUGGAUGGCUUCUGCAGACAUCCUUAACCUCUUCAGCCCCGUCCGCCCCGGCUUCUCGGACUCCCACAGUAUCUGAGAGGACCACCAUCACCAUCCCAGGAUCCCCAUAUCCCACCGACGAGGAACCCCACAGCAAUCCACAUCUCAGGAUGGGGCUCCAGCUUGGCCCGAAUGCGUUCAUUCAAGAGAGGAGAAUGAAUGAGCCGUAAGGGGGCGCCUUUCCUCCUGACAUUGCCCACCGCCUGCGUGUUGGCUGUGCCGUGCCAGCAGCAUUUUGUCCUCGAGCUGUGAGUGCAGACAGAGGCCCUGAGAACAACCAGAGCCGUGUCUGUGUUCACCAAGGACUCACCUCUGCACGUGCAGCGGCAGCUCUGAGGGCAGCCUUCUUCAGCUCCACUCUCCUCUCCUUUCG
ensembl:lncRNA